rnacentral:rRNA from 1 species
ACUGGAACUGAGACACGGUCCAGACUCCUACGGGAGGCAGCAGUGGGGAAUAUUGCACAAUGGGGGAAACCCUGAUGCAGCCAUGCCGCGUGUGUGAAGAAGGCCUUCGGGUUGUAAAGCACUUUCAGCGAGGAGGAAAGGUUGGCGCCUAAUACGUGCCAACUGUGACGUUACUCGCAGAAGAAGCACCGGCUAACUCCGUGCCAGCAGCCGCGGUAAUACGGAGGGUGCAAGCGUUAAUCGGAAUUACUGGGCGUAAAGCGCACGCAGGCGGUUGGAUAAGUUAGAUGUGAAAGCCCCGGGCUCAACCUGGGAAUUGCAUUUAAAACUGUCCAGCUAGAGUCUUGUAGAGGGGGGUAGAAUUCCAGGUGUAGCGGUGAAAUGCGUAGAGAUCUGGAGGAAUACCGGUGGCGAAGGC